rnacentral:rRNA from 1 species
GAUGAACGCUGGCGGCGUGCCUAAUACAUGCAAGUCGAGCGAACGGACGAGGAGCUUGCUCUUCUGAUGUUAGCGGCGGACGGGUGAGUAACACGUGGAUAACCUACCUAUAAGACUGGGAUAACUUCGGGAAACCGGAGCUAAUACCGGAUAAUAUUUUGAACCGCAUGGUUCAAUAGUGAAAGACGGUCUUGCUGUCACUUAUAGAUGGAUCCGCGCUGCAUUAGCUAGUUGGUAAGGUAACGGCUUACCAAGGCAACGAUGCAUAGCCGACCUGAGAGGGUGAUCGGCCACACUGGAACUGAGACACGGUCCAGACUCCUACGGGAGGCAGCAGUAGGGAAUCUUCCGCAAUGGGCGAAAGCCUGACGGAGCAACGCCGCGUGAGUGAUGAAGGUCUUCGGAUCGUAAAACUCUGUUAUUAGGGAAGAACAAAUGUGUAAGUAACUGUGCACAUCUUGACGGUACCUAAUCAGAAAGCCACGGCUAACUACGUG